AUACAGAGGUCGCAAGCGUUGUUCGGAUUUACUGGGCGUAAAGGGCACGUAGGCUGCGAGGCGUGUCGAGUGUGAAAUCUCCGGGCCCAACCCGGAAAGUGCGCUCGAAACUACCUUGCUCGAGUACGGGAGAGGGAAGGGGAAUAUAGGGUGUAGCGGUGAAAUGCGUUGAUAUCCUAUAGAACACCGGAGGCGAAGGCGCCUUCCUGGAACGUUACUGACGCUAAGGUGCGAAAGUCGGGGGAGCAAACAGGAUUAGAUACCCUGGUAGUCCCGACCUUAAACGGUGCACACUCGGGGUGGGGCCAUUUCACCGGCCCCGUCCCUCAGCCAACGCGUUAAGUGUGCCGCCUGGGGAGUACGGCCGCAAGGCUAAAACUCAAAUGAAUUGACGGGG
rnacentral:rRNA from 1 species